ensembl:lncRNA
AACAUUUCCUUUCAUGGUAAAAAUGAAGAGGACUUUUUUGGUUUUUUUUUGUGAUAAUGUUGAUAUUAAUAGGUUACAGCAUCUAUCAGUGGAAAGCUGUGAGAGAAGAGAAGUGAACACAGCUCUAAUUAGACAUGGGGUGAUCAAACAGAAUCGAGUAUUUUCCACAAAGUCUAAUUAAAGGUAUAAUCUGUGAUGGUGGUUUUGAAGUUAGCUGAAUGUGGCUGUUUUCAAACACACAAAAAUACAUACUAUCUUUUAAUUUCCUCCUUUCAAAGACCUUAAAUUCUGUCCUAGUAGUGAUAUACUUACUUAGUCCUCUGAUAGAUUUAAUAUAUUUUGGUUUUGUUUGUGUCAGGUUGGGUUGGGUUGGGUUAGAUUGGGUUGUGGUAGAUUGGGUUGGGUUAGGUUAGAUUGGGUUAAAUUAGAUUGGGUUGGGUUAGGUUAGAUUGGGUUAAAUUAGAUUGGGUUGUGGUAGAUUGGGUUAAAUUAGAUUGGGUUGUGGUAGAUUGGGUUGGGUUAGGUUAGAUUGGGUUGUAGUAGAUUUGGUUAGGGUAGAUUUGGUUAGGUUAAGUUAGGGUAAAUUUUGGCUGGGUUAGGGUAGAUUGGAUUAGGUUAAAUUAGAUUGGUAAGUAUAGAUCGGGUUGGGUUAGGGUAGAUUGGGAUGGGUUAGGGUGGAUUGGGAUGGGCUAGGGUAGAUCAGGUUGGGUUAGGGUAGAUUGGGAUGGGUUAGGGUAGAUUGGAUUUAGUUGAGGUGGGUACUUAGGUUGAGUUGGGUUCUUGAUCAUCUUCCUUUUACAUCUUUGUUUUUUUUAUUGAAGCAAAAAAUAAUCUGUCAUCCGACACCUAUCACCAAUGUGAAAAAUUCAUUGCCCCUUUAAAAUCUGGUUCUCACUUUUAGCAGUAGUAACUGCAACCAAAUGCUUCUGAUAACUGAGAUCAGUCUUUCACUUCUAGGACUAGGAUUUACUCCUAUGCUUUGGAUCAUUGUCUUGCUGCAUGAUCCAGUUGUGUUUGAGUUUCAAAUUACAGACUGAAGACCGGACGUUCUCCUUUAGGAUUUUCUGGUAGAGAGGCAAGUUGCCCAGGCCCUGAAGCAGAAAAGCAUCCCCACACCAUCACACUUCCACCACCAUGCUUGACCAUAGGUAUGAUGUUCUUUCUGUGGAGUUUGAUGUUUGGUUUACGCCAGAUGUAACGCAACACCCGUCCUCCAAACAGUUCCACUUUCGACUCAUCAAUCCACUUAACAUUUUCCCAAAAGGUUUGAGGAUCAUCAAGGUGUGUUUUGGCAAAAUUCAGACGAGCCUUAAUGUUCUUCUGGGUUAGCAGUGGUUUUCACCUCACCACUCUUCCAUGGACGCCAUUUUUGCCCCA